rnacentral:sRNA from 1 species
GCUGGGCAUGAUGGCUCAUGCCUGUAAUCCUAGCACUUUGGGAGGCUGAGGUGGGUGGAUCACUUGAGGUCGGGAGUUCGAGACCACCCUGGCCAACAUGGUGAAACCCCAUCUCUA